CAGCUACUCCCUCCGUUCCGAAUUACUUGUCGCAGAAAUGGAUGUAUCUAGAUGUAUUUUAGUUCUAGAUACAUCCAUUUCCAAGACAAGUAAUUCCGAACGGAGGGAGUAGGUC
rnacentral:pre_miRNA from 1 species